rnacentral:rRNA from 1 species
AUUGAACGCUGGCGGCAGGCCUAACACAUGCAAGUCGAGCGGAUGAAGGGAGCUUGCUCCUGGAUUCAGCGGCGGACGGGUGAGUAAUGCCUAGGAAUCUGCCUGGUAGUGGGGGAUAACGUCCGGAAACGGGCGCUAAUACCGCAUACGUCCUGAGGGAGAAAGUGGGGGUUCUUCGGACCUCACGCUAUCUGAUGAGCCUAGGUCGGAUUAGCUAGUUGGUGGGGUAAAGGCCUACCAAGGCGACGAUCCGUAACUGGUCUGAGAGGAUGAUCAGUCACACUGGAACUGAGACACGGUCCAGACUCCUACGGGAGGCAGCAGUGGGGAAUAUUGGACAAUGGGCGAAAGCCUGAUCCAGCCAUGCCGCGUGUGUGAAGAAGGUCUUCGGAUUGUAAAGCACUUUAAGUUGGGAGGAAGGGCAGUAAGUUAAUACCUUGCUGUUUUGACGUUACCAACAGAAUAAGCACCGGCUAACUUCGUG